UACGUAGGGCGCAAGCGUUAUCCGGAAUUAUUGGGCGUAAAGAGCUCGUAGGCGGUUUGUCGCGUCUGCCGUGAAAGUCCGGGGCUCAACUCCGGAUCUGCGGUGGGUACGGGCAGACUAGAGUGAUGUAGGGGAGACUGGAAUUCCUGGUGUAGCGGUGGAAUGCGCAGAUAUCAGGAAGAACACCGAUGGCGAAGGCAGCUCUCUGGGACGGUACUGACGCUGAGACGCGAAAGCGUGGGGAGCGAACAGG
rnacentral:rRNA from 1 species